GAAGCUGGAGAGUUGAGGCCGUUCUCUAGAUUGUUUCAGAUUUGGAAAAUCUCUUGCCUGAAACAGCCGGGCAAGGAAAGGAAAGGGGCAUUUUUGGUCCAGGUAUGACGCAUUUCUUUUGAACAUACCUGGUUGAAAAUGAGAUAGUAAACACCCACCUGGACUGGGUGGGGCUUCUGUGGCACCUUCACUGAGAAACCAUUACCUCGAGGGAUGAUUUGGAAAGAAAACAUCACUGUUUCCCGGAAGGCCUGUGCUGGCUUGUCACGACCAGUUGUGGAUAGUCACUCCCGACAAAAACCCGCCUGUGUUCUAAAGCCUCGGCCUUCCUACAGCAAUAAUGCCAGCGAGCUCAAAGUUUGCCUUGAGAGUAAGAUGUUUAUCAGAUUGUAUAACUGCCUAUGAAUGACCUCACUCAGACCCUCAGGAAUGCCAAUGGCCCUGUUUAUAAUCCAGGUGGAGGAGAAGCUGAAGCCCCCAAUCUGGGGAGCAGACCCCGGAGCACCUGAAGAGGAAAUCCUGCCUGUCCCGUUCCCGUGGAGGGGGGCGGAUGACCCAGAAAUAAAGACCUCUUCCAUGGGGUUGUUUAUCCACCUCGGGAGCUAGGAAUGUUACCCCUACCCAACCCGCCUGCAGCUCCCCAAGCCCUUGGGCCCCGGGAUCUGGGGGCGAUGGGUGGGAAAAGGGAUGGGGAGCAUCUUCCCUGCCUCCAGUCCUUGGAUGCCAAGAGUCCUAGACCAGGGUUGGGGGAAGGGCAGCC